rnacentral:rRNA from 1 species
AUCUGCAGUUAUAGGCAGCUACCUCCUUAUACCUUCAGAUAUUACUGUAUGUGUGACUGGUCUUGGCGCUGGGCCUGGUCAAUACCUGGAUGGAAGAAUGCCUGGGAAUGCCAGAUGCUGUAGGUU